UACGUAGGGUCCGAGCGUUGUCCGGAAUUACUGGGCGUAAAGAGCUCGUAGGUGGUUUGUCGCGUUGUUCGUGAAAACCGGGGGCUUAACCCUCGGCGUGCGGGCGAUACGGGCAGACUUGAGUACUGCAGGGGAGACUGGAAUUCCUGGUGUAGCGGUGAAAUGCGCAGAUAUCAGGAGGAACACCGGUGGCGAAGGCGGGUCUCUGGGCCGAUACUGACGCUGAGGAGCGAAAGCGUGGGGAGCGAACAGG
rnacentral:rRNA from 1 species